AUUGCUCAGGGACACAUCAACACUCAGCAAGGAGGAGCUAGGGAUGGAACUAGCAACCUUUCGGUUACAAGCCUGCUCUAUCUCCUGAGCUAGGCCGACCCAGUCUAAGUUAAAGGAGCAGACCCUUGCACCCAAUGAAAACAUUUUCAGAAAUCCUACCUACAGGCUGCCUGACGUCCCAGCUGGGACGAGGCCGGAGGCUGGUAUCCAUGGUGACCAAAGACAUCAGGAUCAGUGGAUAGAAAAUAAUGGAGGAUGGGGCGAUCAGGGCAAUCAAUUAAUCAAUAAAUGUGAUAAAGGAGAGAAUGAGAGGUUAUAGGAUGAUCAGG
ensembl:lncRNA